GUCCACGCCCUAAACUAUGAAUACUCGGUCUUGGCGAUAUACAGUCAGGGCCCAAGCGAAAGCGUUAAGUAUUCCACCUGGGAAGUACGUUCGCAAGAAUGAAACUCAAAAGGAAUUGACGGGGGCCCGCACAAGCGGAGGAGCAUGUGGUUUAAUUCGAUGAUACGCGAGAAACCUUACCUGGGCUUGAAUGUGAGUGACCGGUGCCGAAAGGUACUUUUCCCGCAAGGGACACAAAAACAAGGUGCUGCAUGGCUGUCGU
rnacentral:rRNA from 1 species